GACUCCUCUCUGCCUACACUUCCCAGAAUUCUCCUAAUCUCCUAGCCCCACCUGUCUUUCUGCCUGGCCAAUAAGUGUUUUAUUCAUCAACCAAUAAGAGAAACCUAUACAGAAUCCCAUUAUUGGAUCAAGAUUGAAGAGUCUCACUGGGAUCAUUGAGGACUUGAAAAAUGGGCUCCCACAGCAAGAAAGAGAGGCUGUGCAUAGUAAUUAACACAGGUGGCUGUAGCAACAUGCUCUGCUACCAUUGAUGAGCCCUGAAGUUGGCCCACUGCUGCAGUAACACGUGAUGUAGACAGUCUCAGAGUUUCAUAAAUUUGGGUGGGUGGGUAACAUGUUUUAAAUUGUAUUUUUCUGCAGGGGACUGAUGUCAAACAUCCAUUUAUCCAUUGUUGGCCAUUUAGAUAUCUUUUACAAAAUGUCUCUUCCAAUAUUUCAUGGAUUUAUAAUAUUAGAUUAUCUUUUCUCAUUAUUUUACUUUUUGGAUGACUAAUGAUCAAUGUAGUGGCUGGUAAUUAUCAAGUAUUGAGUAAAACAAAUGUAGUAAACAAAGCCAGCUUUAUUUGCAAAUGUUUCUUUGUUACUGGUCACGUGAAAUAAAUUAUGGAAGCAA